UUAUUUUGUUUUGUUUUUAGUUAUCCAUUUAACAAUAAAGUUAUUCAAAAUAUUGCCUUGGCUAUUUAGUUCAUAAAUUUGACAUAGUACUUGUCUAAAUCACUUAACGAAGUGCACCAACGAGAAGGUAAGCCAUAGGGCUUUGCACUCCAUCAGUAAACUGUCGUGUUGCCUAAGAUAUGAUUGAAGACUUUCAUUUCAAAAUUAUUUUUAACACAAUGAUAUAUGAUAAUGAUAUUGAUUGUCUUAAAGGACCACUGCUAUCUGAAUCCAACAAAAGCAAUCACGCAAUUCUUCUAUUUUUAUGUCUAUGUAACAGGUACUUAACAAAAUCAGUCAUUUGGUGUAAGGCAAUUUAUUUGAACAGUCCUUAAUGACUUUAAAAUUAUUUAUUGCACAUAAUAAAAAUAUUUUUUA
rnacentral:lncRNA from 1 species